UGCAAGUCGAGCGGUAACAUUUCAAAAGCUUGCUUUUGAAGAUGACGAGCGGCGGACGGGUGAGUAAUGGCUGGGAACCUGCCCUGACGUGGGGGAUAACAGUUGGAAACGACUGCUAAUACCGCAUGAUGUCUACGGACCGAAGAGGGGGAUCUUCGGACCUCUCGCGUCGGGAUGGGCCCAGUUGGGAUUAGCUAGUUGGUGAGGUAAUGGCUCACCAAGGCGACGAUCCCUAGCUGGUUUGAGAGGAUGAUCAGCCACACUGGAACUGAGACACGGUCCAGACUCCUACGAGAGGCAGCAGUGGGGAAUAUUGCACAAUGGGCGCAAGCCUGAUGCAGCCAUGCCGCGUGUGUGAAGAAGGCCUUCGGGUUGUAAAGCACUUUCAGCAGUGAGGAAGGUUGGUGCGUUAAUAGCGCAUUAGCUUGACGUUAGCUGCAGAAGAAGCACCGGCUAACUCCGUGCCAGCAGCCGCGGUAAUACGGAGGGUGCGAGCGUUAAUCGGAAUUACUGGGCGUAAAGCGCAUGCAGGCGGUUUGUUAAGCAAGAUGUGAAAGCCCCGGGCUCAACCUGGGAACCGCAUUUUGAACUGGCAGGCUAGAGUCUUGUAGAGGGGGGUAGAAUUUCAGGUGUACG
rnacentral:rRNA from 1 species